GCCUUUAAUUGCAGCAAAUCCAAUUUGACUUUCAGUUUUUACCGCUAAAGCAGCUGGUAUAAUUAACCCUUGGUAUGCUAAGGAAGCAUGCAGUGACACAGCCACCGUGUGGAAUGAUAGAAAUUGUGUAUUUUUACCAUGUGUGUUUUUGUGCAGAGUCGUGUCAUUAGCUCUCCUUACCGGUCAGCACAGAGGAAAUGCCUCUCGUUCUAUAUCCUUUCAGAUUAACA